rnacentral:rRNA from 1 species
AUUGAACGCUGGCGGCAUGCUUUACACAUGCAAGUCGAGCGAGUGGCGGACGGGUGAGUAAUGUCUGGGAAACUGCCUAGUGGCGGGGGAUAACUACUCGAAACGGUAGCUAAUACCGCAUACUAUUGGAUCUGCCGAUAUGGGAUUAGCUAGUGGGUGGGGUAAAGGCUCACCAAGGCGACGAUCCCUAGCUGGUUUGAGAGGAUGACCAGCCACACUGGGACUGAGACACGGACCAGACUCCUCCGGGAGGCAGCAGUGGGGAAUAUUGGACAAUGGGGGAAAGCCUGAUGCAGCCAUGCCGCGGGUAUGAUGAAGGCCUUCGGGUUGUAAAGUACUUUUGGCGGAGAGGCGUUAUCUGCAGAAGAAGCACCGGCUAACUCCGUGCCAGCCGCCGCGGUAAUUC